CUUACAAGUGGAUGUCAUAAUACUGACGUCCAUGGAUACAAAACAAAAUUUUUUGGCGCCAUUCAGUCAGUUUCUGCGCCAACACUGCAAAGAAUUGUUAGGCCUUUUUUGGAAUUGAUUAAACGUUAUUUGACUUUUGGCAUCUAUAUUUAAUCGUCCCAUAUCAUAUUUCAUUUCAUUGCAUUUCAUUUUCAUUUCAUUUUAGUCGAAUACAACAACUUGCAUUUACCUUAUUCUAUUAACAUGCACAUAAUCAGCACAUAAUUAUUUCGUAGGUUUUAUUUUAUUACUGUUAUUUUAUUUAAAAUAUUUAAUUAUACUGUCGUAAUGUUAGAUUUUAUAUUUAUUAUAUUAUUUUAUUAUAUUUAUUUAUUGUUAUCACGUUAUGAAUCACUUAAUUUUCGUAGACGCCACUAGUCAAAUUUCAAAUACAAAAACUAAUGAAAUUUUAUAUUUGGCAACUGGAGCUUUUCGACGUUUGCACCUUUAUCCUCCUUGACGGGCUGAUUUGAUGAACGCCAUCGCGUCUUCGAGCAUCCAAGCAUCAACCAUAGUAAGAACUAACAUGUAUUGAAACCAAGAAGAGACCUAUAUAGUACCUUUUUGGUUAAAAUGUGAUGUUGCAUCCAUUUCUACUAACACACAGGUGUAGACAUUAGGCUUUACUUUUUCAGGGCAACGAAGCUAAUAAUAAUUAUGGUGGAGAUCUUGUUGAUACUAUGCAAUGUUAAUACUUUAUAGGAAACUAGAUUGCAUAUUGGAAACAAGGUUUAAUUAUUAUCGUAUCAUACAGAAUUGCGACGAUAGGCCUAAUAUAUGUGAACCAUGGAUUCCAUGGCUAAACUUCAGUAGGCAUUCAAAUCUCCAUGCUAGGCCACUCACACUAGAUGCUGAUAAUCUGACAACAUUAGAUAAUAUAUCCAGCAAAAUUUUGACAACAUCAAUUUAUCAUAUUUAACAGCAUCGAUUAGACUAUUUGUGAAUGUAUGUAUUAUGAAAAAAUUGAACUAACACUUAGGCCGAUAUAAAACAGUUGUUGUUUAAUUAUGUUGAUUAUAUGCAAAUGUGACGGGGCCACAGGUAAGUUACUAAUGCAGCAAGACAUCGCCUCGAGCAUCCAAGCAUCAAACCAAGUAAGUCAACUAACCACUAUAGGAUUGUUUGUGUAGAAAAAACAAUCGUACUAUAUCGUAGACAAUGCCCAUCUUGUAAACCACUUUAUAUAAAAUCGUAGUAUUUUUAUUUAUUUUUUUAUUCUUGCCGAUAGUGGGUUAGGUCAGUAUUUGAUAAUGGUAGCAGGUGCUGCCUCAAUGCGUCUUCAAUUGUAUACCUAUGAAAUUGUUGCAAUAAAUCUUUACAAACAAAUGUGUCUUUGUCUCUUUUUGUCUUUCUAUUUUUUUAAUCACAUCAUGAUGGUAAGCCCCUAUACCAAACAUUGUAUCCCUAUGAAUUUGUUUCAAUAAAUUGGUACAUUACUAAUGAACAUGCGUUUAAGUGUUUUUGUCUGAGUCUGUUAUGAAUUGUAAUUUUGUAAAUGUAAAACAAUAGUAAAUGGCAUUCAUUUACUAUUGUUAAAUUUCAGUGUAUGUAAAUCUAAGAUGUAUAAUAACUAAUAGCAUGUCUUUCAUUUCAGAAAUAUUAAUUUUGUUGUCCACAGACAGUAGCAAGUCGACGAAUACCUUGUGUAUCACAGGUCUUUGUCGCCUAUGCACGUGUGCGGAAUAAAUAAAUAUAUACGUUCAAUACUUAUAUUAUAACUUCGAAGUUCAUUUCAUUUCAGAAAAAAAAAAUCUGGUGAUUUUGAUAAUGAUGCUUGAGGAAAUAUGCUAAUAUACUGAUUGGAUGGUGGUACUUCUGCCGAUGACUAAUUGUCGACGUGGAAUGAGGAAAAAAAUAUUAAUGAUGAUUGUGAUGAUGACGGUAGCAAUGAAUAUUUAAUAGUGACGAUAAAUACAGAUUUUAAAGUUGUAGUUAGUUCAUUUGAGUUUCUGUGAGUUGCGAGUUAAGAUGACUUUGUUAUUACAAUAUACUAUGACAAAUGAUGGCGAUGAAUGACAGUGAUGACGAUUAACGAUAAUGAAAUAAUGUAUUAAAACUUGCAAAGGUAAGUUGUGAGAUAAUAUUAGUUUGAAUGUCUGAAAGUUUCCAAGGCGACUUUGUGGGGUUGUGAAAUGACGUGAUGUGAAACUAGGGCUAUAAUCACAGGCCAUAUCUAUACAUUAUAUUGUGUUUUCAUUUUAGGAAAAGAAAAUAUAUAUAUAUAUAUAUAUAUAUAUAUAUAUAUAUAUAAUGCAUGUGAAUUUCCGAAUUAAUCAAAUCAAUUUGCUAUUUGGAGUAGUGCCUCUUCUGAUGAUGAUGGAGAACUGAUAGACAUAAGUGCUCAUGAAGAUAACGAGGAUGAUGUAAUGAUGGUGAUAUAGAUGAUACAGUGAUAACAAUGAUGAUGAUAAAAUGGUAGACCUGUGCUUGAAAAUUAGUAGUCGAUAUCGCAAGGCAUUAAAUGCUUGUGGACUGUCCUCCGACCUGACUGGAAUGUAUUGUGAUCGAUUUAAAAACAAGGAAAUAUGUGGACGUCGAUGGUUAAUAAUGAUGGUAUGGUAAUGGACGGCUAUGAUAUUAAUAACCAACGUUGAUGAUGCUAAGAAAGAAACCUGGUGAUUUUGAUAAUGAUGCUUGUGGAUAUGAUUGUCUGGUGGUUCUUCUGCCAAUGGAUAAUUUAUUGACUUCAAUUGAAAACAAAAUUAGCAGGAUGUUGAUGGUGAUGAUGAUUGUGAUGAUGAUGGUGUUAGCAAUAUCUACUAUGUAGACCCUUUUCAUAUCGACAUGAAAGGAAUAUUGAACGAAUACGAUGAUAUAAUUCAUGAUGAUAACGAGAAAGUUGUUGCUGAUAAAGAUGAUGUUAAACAAUAACGACGAUGAUAAUUUUACGAUAGGCCUACUUGAUUACUUUUGCUUAUCCUCCUAUCUUGAAUCCAAAUUUGUGAGUUGUGAUUUGAGUUAAGAAACUUUACUAUUAAUUACAACAUAAUAAAAUGACAGAUGAUGGUGAUGAUUAAAAGGACAGCGAUGACGAUUAACCGAUAACGAAAUGGUGUAACUGAACUUGCAAAUAUAAUUUGUCAGAUGAUGUUUGAAUGCGUGAAAGUUGAGCUUGUUUGAAUUGUGAAAUGACAAUAGGGCUAUUGGGCUAUGCACAGGCCUAUAAAUUUUACAACAUAUAAUUGUUUUCAUUUCAGAAAAGAAAUAAUAAUAGUAAUGAAUGCGAUUUUCAGACUAAAUUGUUCAACGCGUUUCUUUUGAUGGUGAAUAUCGAGGACGAUGAUAAUCAUAACGAAUAUGAUCUUAUAUUGAUGGCGACAUAAUGAUCUUGGUGACGAUGAAAUGGUAGACCAGCUUGCAAAGGUUUACGCAGUACAUAAUUUGUAAACACAGAAGUGGUUGAUAUGCAAGGCCUUGAAUUCUUGUGAACUGUCGCCGACUUCACCAUACUGAAACUGUAUGCGAUCGACUUAAAAGGAAUCUACUGGUGGACAUUGGUGGAUUAAAUGUCGAUUCUACUAAAGAAAUUCGGAGCUGUGAUCAAGCUAAUACCAACACUGACCCAGGAAGCAAAUUUUGUCAGCAGAAUAACAUCCGUUCAGAUGGAAUGAGCCAAUCUGAUCGAUUUAAUUUAGAGAUGCCGAGUAAUUUUGCAAAUGUUAAAGAACAUAGAACCUACAAUUAGAUAUUAUGGGGAAGACUAUUUGUCAUUGCAGUUGGUAAUAUUAAACAUAUGCUAUAUAAUUCAAUUUAAUAAUAAUAAUAUAAAAAUAAUAACAAUAAUAUAAAAAAAUAAUAUAAAAAAAAUAAUAUAAAAAAAUAAAAGCCUACAUUUUUAAAAUAAUAAUAAUUACAAAUACAGUAUUCAUCAAUACAGUUACUUUCUUCUUGUUGUUUUGUAUAUUUGUCAUCCUACAUGUAGUUGAUGUUUGUUUCGUACAUUACGGUUUUGUAUCACUUUCAUCAUUUCAUUUCGCCCUAACCUAGUCCACCCUCUCUCAUAUCUAUCUUAAUUCAGCCUAUUAGAUAGUUGUAGUUAGUCAGGUUAGCUUGAUAGAUAGGUCGUAGUUUAAGAUGUAGAGUUAGGUUAGCUAGGUUAAAAAAAGUAGAUUACCUGCCUAUAUGAGAGAGGAAUGGCCAAUACAUUAACCUCCUACAUUAACAUCAGUUCAAUGUGUCCUAUCAUUUCUUUACUGUAUUGUGUUAUAAAAAUACUAUUGAUCAAUAAAAGUUACAACUUAAAAAAUAAAGACACAGAAUUAUAAAUUUAAAAGUAUAACAAUUGCAAUGACAUGUGCUGAAAUAAUUUCUUGUGAUAAAUUAACUGUUAUCAUUUGCUAUAUAUUCAGUUAAUAAUAAUUGUGAUGUUGAUGCAAAUACAUUAUUAGUAAGGCCGAUAUUAUGCUUAAUUGUAUACCGUAUAUUUUUUUUGGCACUGGCAUUAUGAGCAUAUAUUAAACGAUGGAUUUUAAAACUUGAAUACUUCCGACAUAAUAAAAUGUUUUUAAAACAUUUAUGUUUGAAGAUCAAAAAUUAGCCAAGAAAUAACAAAGCGGCACGGCCACUGGGAUCCACAAGAAUAAUGCCUAUAAUAAUUAAUUUGCAUACUGUAAUAACAGAGGAACUGAUGCAUUUUGUAUUUCUAAAUAAUGUGUAUAAACAUCUGCAAAACCAAGAGCUUUUGUAAGGUCAGUUUUUAUAGAUUUUUCAUGUGCUGCUUUAAACACUAUUGUUCCACACAUAUUGCUAAAAAGACUACUUUGAGCUUGAUUUCGUUCCUCGAAUUUUGUUAUGUAUUUAAUUUCUUGACCACAGCGAGUUAAAUGAAAUAAUAUAUCGUCAACAAUUAGUAGCAUAAGUAUUGGUGUUCCGUAAGGAUGUGUUUUGUCUCCGUACCUGUUAAUUUUAUAUUCAAGUAAUUUUAAGAUCUUGGAUCCUCACUGCAAAAUUAUAAAAUACGCAGAUAAUACUGUAAUUAGUGGAUUUAUUGAUAACGAUGAAACUAUAUUAUUUUGAUGAAGUUAAAAUAUUUAAUGAAUGGUGCCAGCUUAAUCAUCUUAUAUUGAACGCUAACAACUAAAGAAAUGAUCUGGUUUUUGCAAAGCAAAUUGUGCUUAUGAUAUAUACCAGGUACUGUUGUUGAUAAUAAGCUUAUAAUGGGGGUAAACAAACCAAGAUUACUUACAAAAGGAAACUAAGCAAAGUUGUAUUUUCUAAGAAAACUUAAGAAGCUUAGUGUUGACAAUACCAUUCUUAUCUUGUUUUAUAAAGCAAUAAAACAGUGUUUUACCUUACUGUUUGUACAUAUAAAUGCCUAACAAACAAUGAAGAAAUCGGACUAGAUCCGAAAGACUGCAAAGAAAAUAUUAAUAAAGAUAUUGUACAUUUAGAUAAUAAUAUGACAAAUACACAUUAGCUAAACUCCAGGCGAUAAUGAAAGACACAAACUCAUCCACCCACUACAGUGAAUUUACAGUAUAUUUAACACUAUAGGCUUCCGUCUUAUGUACCACUCACCAGACGAUGUCGUUCCCAACUCCAUUCACCUUCAUAAUGAUAAUGUUAACAGAUAAUUCUGGUUUUAAGUGCAAUUUUGAC